rnacentral:ncRNA from 1 species
UUAACAGCGUUGAUCCAGACGAGUACGUCGCUGGCGGGCUUCAGAGAGCCGGGUAAGGUGUGAGCCGGUAGUUGCGCAGAGGCCGAAUGGACUGGGGAGCUUCAGACCGAAAGCGUUAAGCGAGUAGGCUCUGACGGAAAGGGCGCCGUUAGCCGGCCCAGGGUAUCGCCAUACCUGAGAGUAUGCGCCGUAUCCGACAAAUGAGAUGGUUUUUUACCUGUCGCAAGAUUUGUAAUAAACCGAACCAGGGUGGCACCGCGAGAUUUAAAGCUCUCGCCCCUAGU